AAAAACCAAAGUUUCUUUUAUGACUUUCGGUGUUCUCUAGGCGAUGUAGAUGAAGAACCAGAUAAUAUCCGGUUGAAAUCACAUAUUCUCUAAGGGAAAUCCUCCUAUGGUGAAGAAAUAGCGAAUCUGAUGAUUUAUCAUUACGAAUCAAGAUCCAAAAACGCAGAAGAUGAAUAAAAAACUCGUUAACAAUUCAGAGGAAGAAAGUAGUUAACAACUAAGAGGAAGAAGCAGAGGAGGGUUGUUCGAAUGGGAAAUCUGAUUUCAUGAAUCAUUCGAAGAUCUGCAUGUUUAAUUUACAAAUCAAGAAUCAAAGAAGAUUGAAUGUUGAUUUGCGUGGUGAGAAAAGUACCAAGAGAAAAAUCUCAACAUGAUUGAAGGAGAAACUAAUUGUUCUUUAUUCAAGGUCGACAAAUACAUCUACAUAGAGGACUUUAUUAUUCGGACAUAAGAUAUUGUGAAUAAGAUAGAAGCUAAAAGAGAUGUGGGCGAUGAGGCAAAGACACUUUCAGCAGAAAAGAUAAGUCGAUAAAUACAACUACAUAGAGGACCAAAUUAUUCGGACAUAAGAUAUUGUGAAAUAAGAUAGAAGCUAAAGAGAUUUGGGCGAUGAGGCAAAUACACUUUCAUAGGAGAAGAUAAGUACAAUGUCAUCUAUUAAGUUUAUCUAUCGUAUAGUAUAUAUAUAUAUAUAAAACAUAUUAUAACAAUCAGUUCACCUUUCCAUACCUUUUUCAAACAAUUUCGUUUUAUGUAGAUGAACUGAUUAUAUUUUCUUCAUCUUGUUUUAAUAGGACCAAGGUCAUUAAAGUGGUGGGACGUGAAGAUACAGGACUGAAGUUUAACUUGAAGUUUCUAUUCACGGGUGAACGAAACCGAACAUGAAGGAGAAACGCUGUAAUAGGGUGUUGCAAUAUUGAAUAGCGAUCAAUUGGGCCAUUAACGAUAUUCAAAAAUAUAAGGCGUAAUGUUAUUGGUAAAGGAAAACAUGGCAUAGUUGGAAGAUGAAGUACAUUGAUCAUUUAAUUAUUAGUUUCCUUCAUUGUAGUUUGUUAGCGUUAGUUUAGGAAAGUGUUAAAACGUGGAAAAGACAUGAAUUUUUUACGCAAGACAUUAUUAAUUCUCAGUGGCAUUUGCUUGUAAAUAAUAGGGAAAACUAAGGGCAUUUCCAUAUGUGUACUUCUAUUUUAAUAA